ensembl:lncRNA
ACAGUAAGCGUGUAUUUGAAAUGGGAGGGAGGGUGGAGCAGAAGCUGGGAGCCCAAUUAGGAGUCUGUUGAAAUAAUACAGCCCAGAGAUGGUAGUGGCCAGGCUGUUACAGUGAAGGUGGUGACAAGGUGACAAGUGGUUGGAUGCUUAUACAUUGCAAUAGUAGAACCAAAAGGAUUUGCCAACCAGCUAGGUGUGAGAGAAGUCAAAGUUGACUUAAGGUUAUUCAAGACUUAAGCACCUGAACUGUUCUUAGCACUAAGCUAAAGCUAUGCUAAGCCUAAGGCUAGAAGGAAAUUUAAAAUCCUUCAGCUCCUUGAGGCAGUUAGUGUUUCAGCCUGACCACUGUCACUAUCAAAUCUCAGACCCCAUCCCAGACCUACUGAGGUAAUCUGUAUUUUGACAAGGUCCUCAGCCAAUGUGUAUGCCCAGUGAAGUUCGAAGAAGAAAAAUGUUUUAUUCCAUAGAAUUCGACCAGUGUCUUUAAGAUCAGACAUGAAAUAUUCUGCUAGGCAAAUUUUCCCCAGACCUAGAGAAUCAAAAACUCUGGAGGUAAAUAAAGCCCAGCAAUCUGUGCUUUAAUAAGCCCUCUGCAUGAUUCUGAUGCCCGUUUAAAGUAUGAAAGCCAAUGACUUGGAGACCUCUGACAAUUCAGGUUUGAGUUGAAGNNNNNNNNNNNNNNNNAGAGCGGUCAUGACUAGGAGUAAGAAGGAAAAGGCUCUUCUGCCUUUCCUUGGUAUGUUACCAGCUAGCAACCCCUACAUUAGGCUUCAAGAAAAAGGAAAGAUUGUUGAGAGGGAGCAGGAUAGAUGACAACACAUAUGACAAAGUCUUAGUUUUUUGUUUUUUGUUUUUGGCCUUUUGUCUUUUGGGGGCCGCAUCUGCGGCAUAUGGAAGCUCCCAGGCUAGGGGUCAAAUCCGGAGCUAUAGCUGCCAGCCUACGCCAGAUCUGAGCCACGUCUUCUAAACACCAGAGCUCAUGGCAAUGCUGGAUCCUUAACCCACUGAGCGAGGCCAGAUAUCAAACCUGUGUCCUCAUGGAUCUUAGUCAGAUUCAUUGACCCCUGAGCCAUGAUGGGAACUCUGACAAAGUCUUGUUUAGUGGUUCAUCUCACAGCCCACAGUGUAUCAGGAUAGGCUAGGUUAUGCUGCAGUAACAAUCCUGAAAGCUCUGUGACUUAAAGUGGGAAUCUGCAAAAUAAGUCCCUGGGCCAAAUGGCCCUCUGUUUUUGUAAAAGAUUUAGGGGAACAAAGCCACAUCCAUUCAUGUACAUAUUUUAAUGGCUGCUUCCAUGCCACAGGGCAGCAGAGUUGAAUAGUAGUGAUAAAGACAUUAUGAUGUACAAAACCCAAAAUAUUAUCUCACCCUUUACUAAAGAAAUUUGCCAAUUCCUGGCUUAUAACAAGUGAUACACACCCAUCAUGGUUUGGCAGAGAGUUUAGCUCACAGCAACCAGUGAUUCAGGCUGAUGGAGAAACCACAUCUCAAGUGUUGCUGAUUACUACGCCAUAAGAAAGAAGGAACUCAGGGGAUUCUCAGGCAGUUGAAUACUCUAGACAGGUAUACUUGUGUGUCUUGUGUGCUCACACCUCAUUAGCCAGGUCACAGAAAGGGUCACAUGACCUGUCCAACCAAUAGAUGCUGUCUUAUCAUGCCUGGAAGGAAGCCAGGUGAACCAGAAGUAUUUUAGUGGACACACAUAGCUGUCAUGCUCUCAGUUUGUUCAGUAUGCUAUCUAUCCCAAUUCAGUUUCCUUGAUUUUCUGAAAUUCUUGUAGUUAUUUGUUCAGGUCAGCAGUUCCAGGAAGUUUAAAGCAGUGUGUUUGGUUUAACUUCCUGCCCAGCCCACUGCCAUAGUCCCAGCAAACCAAAUUUGUCUCUUUCCCACCUGACAAAAAGGUGACUUAAGCUACAUUUGUGAGAAUGUUUAAUACUUUACUAUCUUUUUUGGCCUUUUUUUCCCCAAUGUAAAGCCAUACAGUCCUUGGAGUCAUUAUACCACUGAAGAAAUAGGAAAAAGAGUUUUCCCAGCAAACUAGUGGGAGAGCAGAAUAUGUCUAUAAAUGGAAAAUACUUUCUCCAAAAACUGUGGUAUAAAAGUUAUACCCCAUAUUAAUAUAAUUUAAUAACACAAAUCUCUCAAGUUAACAUCCACUUAUUUAACUCAUUAGACAACAGCAUAGUCAAGUGAAGUGACUGACUGAACUACUUCUCCUGAUCGUUUUGGCAAAAUAGUUGAGCUGCUUCAAUUCACCCAAUAAGCUAAUGCCACAAGCUUAUUUGUAGCAAAAGAGGGGAACUUUCAUCUGAAUUACAUUAACUGCCUUUCUGCAUCAGGUUGACAGAAGCUUGACCUAAAUGUGAACCACACUGCUCACACAGCUAAGGCUUUUGUUUUUCAGCCAUUUUAUUACAAGUCAACAGCAGACAUUUCUAUCAUAAAUUUUUCAGCACAUCCUUUUUUAUGAUAAUGCCGUAACUAUUUGUCUGUGUGUCCGUGAGCCACCAUUAGCCCCUGGGCUUUUCACCAGAAGAAAACAAUUGUUUUGUUUUUCAUCUCUGUCUUCUCAGAAGCAGUAAUAUGCCUGGCAGAAAUGUUUUAUCAAUAAAUGUUGCCUACCAGUAUAUCAUUGUAUUAAUGAGGCAUUGAUAUUAUUGAGCCAUAUCACUUCUUUACCUUGCUGCAUUCUGAUCAUCAGCUGAGGUAAUAUUCUUUUCCCCCUACUAACAUUUUCUUAUGUCUACCUUUUAAUUGUAAUGUUACAGUUAGAAAUAUGCUUCAAAAUAUGCUUCAUAUUUUAUAGAGGUACAUGUCCAGAAUAGUUUUUUUCAGUGAGUUCACAAAGCACUGUUGUUUUUUAUUGAACACACUGUGUAGAAGCACACUGUUUUCAACAUAAAAGCAACAAUGCCUUGACCACAGGUAUUUAAAAAUUUUAUAUAGUGACUUAAUGUGAAUUGUACAUUCUUUUAAUGGUGAUGUUUCUAUUUCAAUGGUUUUCAAUCUGUGGCAAUUUUGUCCCCACCCCCGCCCCGACCUGCCGUGGAUAUUUGGCAAUGUCUGGUGGUAUUUUUAAAUUGCCACAACUUGGGGGGGGAGGUGCUACUGACAUCUAGUGGGUAGAGGCCAAGGAUGCUUCUAAACAUCCUGCAAUGUACAGAACAACACAGAAUUACUGAGGCCAAAAUGCCAAGAAUGCUGAGGUUGGGCAACUCUAUUCUAUUUUAAGAGGCCAAAAAUGUAGUCAUUUGUUCCAGCACUUUUACAAGUAAAAAUAUUGAGAUGACACUGGCAGAAAAAACAAUCCUUAGAAAGCGUGAAAGGACAUAACACAACUAGGAACAGAUAUUCAUCUUGUAUCCUAGCAACUGAUGCAUAAUCAUGGUCUUUUUCAGGCAAUAUAUAGUAUGUAUGUAUAUAUAUUCAUUUCUCCUACUAACACAUAUAAGCCACUUCAAAUAAUGGUAGUUUAAGAAAAAAGAAUUUCCUUCAAAGUGACAACUGCUGCACAAACUUUAAAAGGAAUAAAACUUUUAAAGUUACAUACUAGGAGAAUAUAAGUACAUUAUGAAGUUACUUUAUUCAGAACUUUUUUAUUGAUAAAUAUGUAUUUAUUGCAUUUUAAAUCUUUUUUUAAAUUACUCAAUGAAUGUAUUGCAUUUAUAGUUUUGUACAAUGAUCAUCACAAUCCAAUUUUAUAGGAUUUCCAUCCCACAACCCCAGCGCAUUCCCCCACCCCCCAAACUGUCUCCCUUGGAGACCAUGAGUUUUUCCAAGUCUGUGAGUCAGUAUCUGUUCUGCAAAGAAGUUCCACAUGUCAGUGAAAACAUUUAAUGUUGGCGUCUCAUUGUAUGGCUGACUUCACUUAGCAUGAUGAUUUCUAGGUCAGAAUUUUUUCUACAACUAGUCAGCAUAUAUAUUAUUCAAGAGUAACUUUCACACCUAAAAGAACAACUCCCCCACAUUAAUGGGUUACUCUUCAGGUGUUAAUAACAUUUUUUUAAUCCUGAGAGUCUAAGGACUUGAUAGAAAUGUUUCCUAAGCACUAAAUCACUAAAUCAAAGACAUGAAAAAUGUUCCAGAAAGAUGUAGGACCUGUGUUACUUUUUUUUUUUUAAUUGUACUGAUUUUCCAGUUGAGUGUCUAUUUGCAAAGGGGAGAGGUUUGGAAGCCCCAUCCCACCCUAAAUCUCCUGCUUUGUGUGGUGUUUGUCAAAGGGAGCAAGGUGGCACCUUCAAAAUCACCACUGGCACUUGUAAGAAUGGAGCCCACUGGGCUCCACCCCCAGAUACCGCAUCUACAUCUCAAAAUCUAAGAUCUUGGGAUAUGCAUUUUAAAAAAUUAAACUCCUCUUUGCUCAUUCAAGUUUGUGAAUAAACGUGGCCCGCUUAUUUUCACAUAAAAAUAAGUGCCAUAAAGUGUUCAAGCAAAAAUAACCUCUUUUCAUGAUAUCCUCUUAUCUCGCUUCCCAGGAAGUGCUGUGGGGAAUCUCUUAAGUAGGGUGUUGUUGGCAAUCACCAGAAACUUUGAAAAAGACAGCAAACCCGAGUUGCUCUUUGGAAAGGAGCAAUCAGACACCAAGAUGGGAGAGAAAAUGUUGAGAGAAGUAGGCUGGGGAGAGAAAGCAGAGUGGUGAAUGGAAGGUUAGGAUAAGGGAAGGGAAAGUGACUCAGCAAAUCCGUAGCGCCUACUACUGUAGAUUACACUGAAAAGCUGCUGGUUAAGAAAAAGCAGCAGGAUUUAAAAGUGCUAAAACAUGGGCUGUGCUUCAGAAUCGCCUAGUGGGCUCGUUAAGGCACGCUCUCAGGCUCCUGCCCAGAGUGUCACACACCUUGUGUGGAUGUUCGGCCAGCAGUAAUUUACAUUUCUAACAAGUCCACGGGUAGUGUUGGUGCUGCUGGUCUGGGAACUGUGUUUUGAGAAGCACAGGAUUGGAGGAAUUCUUUUUAUCAUCAUCAUUAUUAUUAUUUACAUUUUUUAAUUAUUGGAGCAAGGACGAAAACGAAGGAGAGAAGAAAUUUUAAAAGUAAUCAAAGGUGGCAGUAGCAUACUACAAUAUCAUGGUUUAUGCUAUAAUUUUGUUUCAAUUUUCCUCUUCAAGAGGCCAGAAGAGAAAAAAUAGAAGGUAUUAGACAGCCUAGUUGUAGUUCAUGCCACCUUUUCUCUAGGUUCUUUUUGUGUAAACCAAAUGCCCUGGGGCAGCUCCGACCUACUGCAAGAUCGUGUUCCUUGGCAUUAUUUAGGGUUGGAGCUGGUGCUGCUUCCUCUCAUGAAUAUCUACCUAAAGAAAGACAGCAGUUGUUCAGGACACCAG